GAUGAACGCUAGCGACAGGCCUAACACAUGCAAGUCGAGGGGCAGCACAAGGAGCAAUCUGAGGUGGCGACCGGCGCACGGGUGAGUAACACGUAUGCAACCUGCCUGUAAGAAGGGAAUAACCCGGAGAAAUUCGGACUAAUACCGCAUAAUACCACGAGACUGCAUGGUUUCGUGGUUAAACAUUUAUGGCUUACAGAUGGGCAUGCGUAUGAUUAGCUAGUAGGUGAGGUAACGGCUCACCUAGGCAACGAUCAUUAGGGGUUCUGAGAGGAAGGUCCCCCACACUGGUACUGAGACACGGACCAGACUCCUACGGGAGGCAGCAGUGAGGAAUAUUGGUCAAUGGGCGAGAGCCUGAACCAGCCAAGUCGCGUGAAGGAAGAAGGUUCUAUGGAUUGUAAACUUCUUUUGUAAGGGAAUAAAAAGUGGUACGUGUACCAUAUUGUAUGUACUUUACGAAUAAGGAUCGGCUAACUCCGUGCCAGCAGCCGCUGUAACAC
rnacentral:rRNA from 1 species